rnacentral:rRNA from 1 species
AGUGAACGCUGGCGGUAGGCCUAACACAUGCAAGUCGAACGGCAGCACAGUAAGAGCUUGCUCUUACGGGUGGCGAGUGGCGGACGGGUGAGGAAUACAUCGGAAUCUACUUUUUCGUGGGGGAUAACGUAGGGAAACUUACGCUAAUACCGCAUACGACCUACGGGUGAAAGCAGGGGAUCUUCGGACCUUGCGCGAUUGAAUGAGCCGAUGUCGGAUUAGCUAGUUGGCGGGGUAAAGGCCCACCAAGGCGACGAUCCGUAGCUGGUCUGAGAGGAUGAAUCGCCACACUGGGACUGAGACACGGCCCAGACUCCUACGGGAGGGAGAAGUGGGGAAUUUUGGACAAUGGGCGCAAGCCCGAUCCCGCCCUGCCCCGGGGGGGAAAAAGGGCUUUGGGGUUUAAAACCCUUUUUUUGGGAAAAAAAAGGCAGUGGGUAAAACCCCCGGGUUUUGAAGGUACCCAAAGAAAAAGCCCCGGCUAAAUUCGUG